AAUUAAUUAAUUAUUUAUUUAGGUUAUAUUAUUUUAAUCAAAAUAAUUUUAUAAAUUUUUAUUUUAAGUAUAUAUUAUAGAAAAAAAGGUUUUAAUUAUAGUUUAUUAGUAUUGUAAAAGAAAUUUGUUUUAAAGAUUUAUUAUUAAAAAGUAAAAUUUAUUUUUUGUACCUUGUGUAUCAGGGUUUAUUAAAUAAUAAUUAUAAAUUUUAAUUUUCCCGAUUUUAAGAGAGAGAAUAAAUUAUUUUUUUUAUUGUAAAAAAAAUAUUUAAAAUUAUUUAUUAGAAAUGAAAAGUUAUUCGUUCUUAAAUGUAUCUGGUUUAUUUAGAAAUAAAUUUAAUUUAAUUUAUUUAAUUUUAUUAAUUUAUUUUUUUAAAUUAAUAGAUUUUUUAAAUAGUAAUUAAAGGGAUAAGCUUUUAAUUAAAUUUCUAUAAUUUAUAGAAUAUAGUAAAAAUAUAUAUGUUUAGAAAUAUUUUUUAUUAAUAAUUUGUUAUAAUUAAUUUUUAUUAGUAUAUUAUUUUAUAAAAAUUUAGUAUUUUAUAAAUAAAUUUUAUUUAAUAUUUAAAUAUAAGAUAUAAUGAUAAAAUUAGUAUUUAUUUUAAAUGUUUAGAUAUAAAUCUUAAAAAAAUUUAUUUUAAGGAAUUCGGCAAAUAUUUUAUUCGCCUGUUUAACAAAAACAUGUCCUUUAGAAUUAAUUAUUUAAGGUCUAGCCUGCCCACUGAAAUAUUUUAAAUGGCCGCAGUAAAUUGACUGUGCAAAGGUAGCAUAAUCAUUAGUUUUUUAAUUAAAAGCUUGUAUGAAUGGUUUGACGAAAUAAAAUCUGUCUCUAAAUAAUAAUAAGAAUUUAAUUUUUAAGUUAAAAAGCUUAAAUUUCAAUAAAAGACGAGAAGACCCUAUAGAUUUUUAUAUUAAUUUUAGUAGUUUUAUUUAAGAUUUUUUAUAUAAUUAUUAUAUUUAGUAUUGUAUUGGGGUAAUAGGAAGAUAAAUAAAAUUCUUUUUAAAUUGUUACAAUAAUAAUUGUUUAUUUGAUCCUUAAUUUGAGAUAAUAAGAUUAAGUUACCUUAGGGAUAACAGCGUAAUUUUUUUUAAGAGUUCAUAUCGAUAAAAAAGUUUGCGACCUCGAUGUUGGAUUAAAAAUUAUCCUAGGUGUAGAAGUUUAGGGAUUUUGGUCUGUUCGACCAUUAAAUUUUUACAUGAUCUGAGUUCAGACCGGCGUAAGCCAGGUCGGUUUCUAUCUUUAUUAAAUUAUUAUAUUUUAGUACGAAAGGACCAAAUAUAAAAUAUAUUAAUAUUUAUUUUUUUGAAUAAUAUU
rnacentral:rRNA from 1 species